rnacentral:tRNA from 1 species
GAGGGUAUAGCUCAGUGGUAGAGAGCAUGCUUAGAAUGCACAAGGUUCUGGGCUCAAUCCCCAGUAUCUCCA